UACAGAGGUCUCAAGCGUUGUUCGGAUUCAUUGGGCGUAAAGGGUGUGUAGGUGGCGCGCUAAGUCGGGUGUGAAAUUUCGGAGCUUAACUCCGAAACUGCAUUCGAUACUGGCGUGCUUGAGGACUGGAGAGGAGACUGGAAUUCAUGGUGUAGCAGUGAAAUGCGUAGAGAUCAUGAGGAAGACCAGUGGCGAAGGCGGGUCUCUGGACAGUUCCUGACACUGAGACACGAAGGCCAGGAGAGCAAACAGG
rnacentral:rRNA from 1 species